GUAGUUUGAUUAGUUUGAUUACUCGUUUGAAUAUGAAUAAUUCACAAGAAAUGUCGAAUGAGAUAUUAAGAAUUGUAGAAGAAGCUUCUCAGAAAAUUUUGGAUUCUCAUAAAACCACAGAUGGGGAUGAUUCCAUGUCGAGAACAGCUCAGCAGUUUAUGGAAUUGUUUUCAAAGAAACAACAGCCAUUGAAAUUGCUUUCGCAGGAGAUGAUGAAGCAGCAGCAGGCACAGAGAUUAAUCUAAAAGAAGGUAAAAUGACUUAUUUUGCUUUUGAGUAUAACAUCAACAUCUUCCAAGACCAAAUUAAAUUUUGCAGAUGAAGAGGAAUACAAAAAAAUUAUUCAGGAUGUCAUCUAUAAACGGAAACAAGGAACCAAGAUGUGCGAAGACAUCCUAGAGAAGACACUGGCCAUUGAAAAGAAGGCAGUGAUGGCUGUGGAGGUCAACCCAGGAGUAGUCAGUGUGCAAGAGUUUGAGAGACAGCCAGUACCAUACAAAAAAGAGGAACUCAAAGUUUCAUCCAAUAAAACUGUGAGCAUCAUUAAGUCCUCUACAUUUAAAGUGCUUGAUAUAAACCACCGGGUGGAAGAAGAAGGCUUAAAGCCGGUUAAAAUGACUCCCCCUCAAGAUUUUCAGAUAUUCCAAGCUGUCAGAGUGCAACCUAUCCC